rnacentral:rRNA from 1 species
CACGUAGGGAGCGAGCGUUGUCCGGAAUUAUUGGGCGUAAAGAGCUCGUAGGCGGUUUGUUGCGUCUGCCGUGAAAGUCCGGGGCUCAACUCCGGAUCUGCGGUGGGUACGGGCAGACUAGAGUGAUGUAGGGGAGACUGGAAUUCCUGGUGUAGCGGUGAAAUGCGCAGAUAUCAGGAGGAACACCGGUGGCGAAGGCGGGUCUCUGGGCAGUAACUGACGCUGAGGAGCGAAAGCGUGGGGAGCGAACAGG